UGGGAAUAUUGCACAAUGGGCGCAAGCCUGAUGCAGCCAUGCCGCGUGUAUGAAGAAGGCCUUCGGGUUGUAAAGUACUUUCAGCGGGGAGGAAGGGAGUAAAGUUAAUACCUUUGCUCAUUGACGUUACCCGCAGAAGAAGCACCGGCUAACUCCGUGCCAGCAGCCGCGGUAAUACGGAGGGUGCAAGCGUUAAUCGGAAUUACUGGGCGUAAAGCGCACGCAGGCGGUUUGUUAAGUCAGAUGUGAAAUCCCCGGGCUCAACCUGGGAACUGCAUCUGAUACUGGCAAGCUUGAGUCUCGUAGAGGGGGGUAGAAUUCCAGGUGUGGCGGUGAAAUGCGUAGAGAUCUGGAGGAAUACCGGUGGCGAAGGCGGCCCCCUGGACGAAGACUGACGCUCAGGUGCGAAAGCGUGGGGAGCAAACA
rnacentral:rRNA from 1 species